GUGGGAAGAUGGAAAGAGAGAAAGGGGAAGGGAAGGGUGGAGCUCGCCGGCCUGGACCGGUUGGCAUGGAGGAAAGAGAAGGAAAGAAGAAAAAUUGGAAAGAGGAGGCGUGACAUUGGCCGGCAAUUAAGGAGGAAGGAUAAAGUAAAAAAGAAGAGGAUAAGAUCAAAAGAAGGGAAGGGAGGCAAGAAGAUACGGCAGAAAGGAGCGG
rnacentral:lncRNA from 1 species